rnacentral:snoRNA from 1 species
CCGCACAGAGAACACCCAAGGGUGCUAUCGUAGCUCCCCUUGUCUCUUGUAUCUGUGCCAGAGUAAACCUGCUCCGUACCUCUGCAUUAGGAGAGUCCCCUUCUCCCCUACAUGUAUUCAACGGAUCAGAAUAAAU